UACAGAGACUGCAAGCGUUAUUCGGAUUCACUGGGCGUAAAGGGUGCGCAGGCGGUCGUGUGUGUGAGGCGUGAAAGCCCGGGGCUUAACCCCGGAAUUGCACCUCAAACUACAUGGCUAGAGCAUUGGAGAGGGUAGCGGAAUUCACGGUGUAGCAGUGAAAUGCGUAGAUAUCGUGAGGAACACCAGAGGCGAAGGCGGCUACCUGGACAAUUGCUGACGCUCAGGCACGAAAGCGUGGGGAGCAAAAGGG
rnacentral:rRNA from 1 species